rnacentral:lncRNA from 1 species
AGGCAGCCCAGUUUCGCGAAGGCUGUCGGCGCGCCGCGGCCCGCAGGCACCCGGCACGCGCCUUCCCCGCAGGCACCCGGCACGCGCCUUCCCCGCCGCCACGAUGCCCAAGAGGAAGGUCAGCUCCGCCGAAGGCGCCGCCAAGGAAGAGGUGAGUGCGGGCCUUCUGCGGGGGGUGGUGGGUUUCCCGUGAGCCGCUGGCCUGCCUUCUCUUCUCGCUGACUCUCCUUUUUCUUUCUCCAAGCCCAAGAGGAGAUCGGCGCGGUUGUCAGCUGUAAGUAAAGCGAGCCCCGUAACCGUUCGUUUUCCGCGGGUCGUCCCGGGUGAGGACGCUCAGUGCUGCUUUUGCCUUUCAGAAACCUCCUGCAAAAGUGGAAGCGAAGCCGAAAAAGGCAGCAGCGAAGGUAAGCCUCGAAACGCGCAUUGGGAUGCAGCGGGGCCUUAGGCUACACUGCUUCUUAAUGCGGGGCUUCCAUUUUGAUUAGCUAUUGGAGCUUUAUUUAUACUUUAAUAAUUACGGUAAAUAAUUUUUCUAGUGGUCGAGGCAAAAAUGUAAUGGAUAUAUUCAUCCUGGUUUAUAGAACUAUAUCACACUAAUGCUGCUGCAGAUGUUAGGAGACUUAGGACGACAAAAAAUAUUAAAUAUUAAGUCUACAAAGGAAAUUUAUUCUUUGCGUUGCGUACAUUGUGGCUGGUGCUUG